rnacentral:rRNA from 1 species
UGGGGAAUUUUGGACAAUGGGCGAAAGCCUGAUCCAGCAAUGCCGCGUGUGUGAAGAAGGCCUUCGGGUUGUAAAGCACUUUUGUCCGGAAAGAAAUCCUUGGCUCUAAUACAGUCGGGGGAUGACGGUACCGGAAGAAUAAGCACCGGCUAACUACGUGCCAGCAGCCGCGGUAAUACGUAGGGUGCAAGCGUUAAUCGGAAUUACUGGGCGUAAAGCGUGCGCAGGCGGUUUGCUAAGACCGAUGUGAAAUCCCCGGGCUCAACCUGGGAACUGCAUUGGUGACUGGCAGGCUAGAGUAUGGCAGAGGGGGGUAGAAUUCCACGUGUAGCAGUGAAAUGCGUAGAGAUGUGGAGGAAUACCGAUGGCGAAGGCAGCCCCCUGGGUCAAUACUGACGCUCAUGCACGAAAGCGUGGGGAGCAAACAGGAUUAGAUACCCUGGUAGUCCACGCCCUAAACGAUGUCAACUAGUUGUUGGGGAUUCAUUUCCUUAGUAACGUAGCUAACGCGUGAAGUUGACCGCCUGGGGAGUACGGUCGCAAGAUUAAAACUUAAAUGAAUUGACGGGGUCAUAGCUGUUUCCU